rnacentral:rRNA from 1 species
UGGGGAAUAUUGGGCAAUGGGCGCAAGCCUGACCCAGCAAUACCGCGUGUGUGAAGAAGGCCUGAGGGUUGUAAAGCACUUUCAAUGGGGAGGAAAAAGGCAAGUUUAAUACGCUUGCCCUUGACAUUACCCAUACAAGAAGCACCGGCUAACUCCGUGCCAGCAGCCGCGGUAAUACGGAGGGUGCGAGCGUUAAUCGGAAUUACUGGGCGUAAAGCGUGCGUAGGCGGCCUGCCAAGUCAGAUGUGAAAGCCCUGGGCUCAACCUGGGAACGGCAUUUGAAACUGGCAGGCUCGAGUUGGGUAGAGGCAGGCGGAAUUCCGGGUGUAGCGGUGAAAUGCGUAGAUAUCCGGAGGAACACCAGUGGCGAAGGCGGCCUGCUGGGCCCAAACUGACGCUGAGGCACGAAAGCGUGGGUAGCAAACAGGAUUAGAUACCCGGGUAGUCCCUGAGCGGGCUGGCAAGGCGCAU